CCUAUCCCGUCUGCAUUACAGACUGGGCCAGCAUGUGAUCAGGCUGCUGAUGCUCCCCGCUGCCAGUGACAUCAGCCGGCUGAGCCGUGCAAUAGAGAGCGGCAUCAUCCCUCACAGAACGGGGGAGGAGCAGGAGGGGACGACAGGGAGGAGACUUGCCUACCAGGGAAAAGAGAGCACAACAGCUACUUGGAACAGUCCGGGUGCAGUGCCGGGAGCAGUUCUGUGACCAUCCGCUGGAGCACUGCGAGGACACGCGGCUCCAUGACGCGGCCUACGUGGGGGACCUCCAGACCCUUCGGACCCUGUUGCAAGAGGAGAGCUACUGGAGGACCACACUCACAGCCUAUGGAAGGGGUCAUACGGGAGCUAGGGGUCAUACGGGAGCUAGGGGUCAUACGGGAGCUGCCGCUGCCGGUCUAUACCACAGCCAUGGCAACAAGGGAUCUGAGCCACAUCUGCGACCUAUGCCACAGCUCACAGCAACACCAGAUCCUUAAUCCACUGAUCGGGGCCAGGGAUCAAAUCCACAUCCUCAUGGAUACUAGUCGGAUUUGUUAACACUGAACCACGACUCGAACUCCAAAAUAAUAAAAAUCUUAAUCAGCACUUCACAGCUUAAUUACUUUGAACUACUUUGGCUAAUCUAUCCCUUUUCUAAGUCUUCAAGCUAUUUCAACUGGUUACUGAGAAUUCUCAUCUCAGUGAGUUAAUGUGUAACUUUUUUCCUCCAGUUACUGCUGCCAGCCAUACUAUACAUUAAAUCUCCUAUCCGUCUAGUCAUUAAGAUGUCCCUUAAUGUCAUCUUACCAAUUUUCACACUUUACAGGCACUUACUAAAAACUCAUUUCAUUUACAGUUUAAUCACAUGCCCAUGUACAGCUUAUUUCCUUCCUUCCUCACAGAGUUCAAAAGAUUCUGACUUAAAGGACCAGGGAGCAGGGAAAGGCCCUGUAGGUGACAGGCAUCCCUUUCAUGAGGAGUGUGUACAUCCCCACCACACAGUUGCCCGGGUAACGGAUCCCAGCUCUGGCCUAAGCUUCCAGCCCCAUCCCAACUCCUACUACCCCACACACAGCAAGGGCCUUCUUGGUGGGAUUCUAGCCCAAAAGCUCAGGCCUUCUGCAACUUCUCCUAAACCUCCUGAACCACGUUAAGUCACAGCUUCCCUGUGUGUCCACUGGUGGGAACUCAGAUGCUUCAGCCAUCUUCCCUCCCUCCCUGCCCUACAUCAUCUCUCCAUUUCUCCUUCAUCUCUACUUGUCAAGGACAGAAAGCAAGUCUGCUGCCUAACAAGGGGCUCAACUUCUGCCUUCUUUCUUAGAAGCACGCUCAAUCUAUACAAAUGCUUCUCUUGAAGGGUCCCCCUGUGUGGCUGAGCAGAGGAAGCAGCAUCCCAGUCUACUGUGCUCCACUGGGAGAGGAGGGACUCACCCCCCAAUGCUACCCUCCCUAAGCAGUCUCCUUAUACAGACCAGGAAAAGACAGAUAAUGUUUGUGGUGGUAGGGACAGCUCUGUGUUCUCAUGGUAAGCCCUCAGUGAGGUAUCUGGUUCCACCUCUCAGGCACUGUCAUUGUACCACAGGUCAUUUAACACCUCUUCAUUCUCAGCUUUGGACCCCACUACCAAUUCUGAAGCAAAAAGGAAAAAAAUCUAUUCAUUAUCCAGUUACUCUGAAAUAACUUUCCCUUCUUCAAGGCCUAUUUCAAAGGCUGCUUCAUCGAAAAAGUGUUUCCUAGUUCCCUAAUACAAUCUCUCCCUCCUCUGACCCUGACACAGCACUUUUCUAAUAGCUUAACUGAGUGUGUAGUUUUAUUACUACUUGCACUGCAUACCAUAUGCAAUGAAAUUCUGUCCCAGCUAACACAGCCUUGCAAGUGACAAACAUGUGUUCAAAUGAAAAAUAUAAAUGGUACAUAACUAUUGCAAAGUUAGGCAUACCUAGGAAACGAGUUGUGCAAUUAAAAUUAAAUGUGCUCUUUACAAAAUCCAAACAACAAUAUGAAACACUGUGCCAAGAUAUACCAUUUUGAACAGGCUGUUUUUAUUGUAAAACACGUUUGUUACAGAAGAACUAGUAGGGAAAAGCACACAGAAAAAAGAUUACUCAUAAUACCUUCACUAUUACAUUUAUGUCUUGUCAUUCCAGUCUUAUCCAUGCAUUUAUACAUACCUAAGACUAUACUGUUUUCCACUUUUCUUUUUCACCUCGUAUUGCAAUUAUAUCAUUAAUUAGUCUUCUACAAACAUCGUAUUUAAUAACUGCAGAACUGCAUGGCUGCUGAUACACUGAAUGUUCCAUAUGCUGCAAAACACUCCACUGUCUGGUUACUUAAGCUUUUACUGUCACCAAACUGUUCCUAGUUAUAAUGCUGUGAUAAACAAUCUUGAUAAGAUUUUUUUUUGUCUUUUUAGGGCAGCAUAUGGAGGUUCCCAGAUAGGGGCUGAAUCAGAGCUGUAGCUGCCGGCCUAUGUCACAGCCACAGCA